rnacentral:rRNA from 1 species
UGCAAGUCGAGCGGGGAAGAGUAGCUUGCUACUUAACCUAGCGGCGGACGGGUGAGUAAUGCUUAGGAAUCUGCCUAUUAGUGGGGGACAACAUCUCGAAAGGGAUGCUAAUACCGCAUACGUCCUACGGGAGAAAGCAGGGGACCUUCGGGCCUUGCGCUAAUAGAUGAGCCUAAGUCGGAUUAGCUAGUUGGUGGGGUAAAGGCCUACCAAGGCGACGAUCUGUAGCGGGUCUGAGAGGAUGAUCCGCCACACUGGGACUGAGACACGGCCCAGACUCCUACGGGAGGCAGCAGUGGGGAAUAUUGGACAAUGGGGGGAACCCUGAUCCAGCCAUGCCGCGUGUGUGAAGAAGGCCUUUUGGUUGUAAAGCACUUUAAGCGAGGAGGAGGCUACCGAGAUUAAUACUCUUGGAUAGUGGACGUUACUCGCAGAAUAAGCACCGGCUAACUCUGUGCCAGCAGCCGCGGUAAUACAGAGGGUGCAAGCGUUAAUCGGAUUUACUGGGCGUAAAGCGCGCGUAGGUGGCCAAUUAAGUCAAAUGUGAAAUCCCCGAGCUUAACUUGGGAAUUGCAUUCGAUACUGGUUGGCUAGAGUAUGGGAGAGGAUGGUAGAAUUCCAGGUGUAGCGGUGAAAUGCGUAGAGAUCUGGAGGAAUACCGAUGGCGAAGGCAGCCAUCUGGCCUAAUACUGACACUGAGGUGCGAAAGCAUGGGGAGCAAACAGGAUUAGAUACCCUGGUAGUCCAUGCCGUAAACGAUGUCUACUAGCCGUUGGGGCCUUUGAGGCUUUAGUGGCGCAGCUAACGCGAUAAGUAGACCGCCUGGGGAGUACGGUCGCAAGACUAAAACUCAAAUGAAUUGACGGGGGCCCGCACAAGCGGUGGAGCAUGUG